UACAGAGGUCCCAAGCGUUGUUCGGAUUCACUGGGCGUAAAGGGUGCGUAGGUGGUGAGGUAAGUCGGAUGUGAAAGCUCGGAGCUCAACUCCGAAAUGGCAUUGGAAACUACCUUGCUAGAGGGUUGGAGGGGGGACUGGAAUACUUGGUGUAGCAGUGAAAUGCGUAGAUAUCGAGAAGAACGCUCGUGGCGAAAGCGAGAUCCUGGGCAGCCUCUGACGCUGAGGCACGAAGGCCAGGGGAGCAAACGGGG
rnacentral:rRNA from 1 species